UGGGUUUCUGCUGAUUCUCAAGUUUUUUGUGUCUGAUUAAUGAUUUGAGUUAUAUCUAUUCUCUUCUGAGAGUAAAGGGAAAAUGGCUUCAGAUAAGAGUUUUUUUCCCCUGAAGAAUUUUUAUUUUAUUUAUUUGACUUCAAUCGGUGUUACCAUAUGUAAUCAGGAUCAUUUUUUCCAGGCAGGGUUUUAUCCAUUUGUCAUAAAAAGGCCUUCUUUUCUUGUUCGGAAAUGGUAUGAUUUUGUUUUUUUUUUUAACGAAUUUGUAUAGAUUAUGAACAUAUAUAAUAUCAAAUUUUUGAUUCAGUUCAUUUCAACCAGGUCUAAGUGUUUAACAUCUUUUUUACCAAAGCCUCUCUUUUUUUUGGCUUCGAAAUGGUUAGUCUUUACAAAUGAUAAGAAUAAUUUAUACUUAUGCUAUUUGUCUCUUCCUAUGAGAAAUGCUAUUUGCAAGUGAUAUCUUGGUUUCACUAAUUUGUUAUUUUGUUCUAUGAUGAAUUUGGAGAGGUUUGUGCAAGUUGUCUCUGCGGAUGAGAAAUUUUUCAGUGAGCUCUUUUCUUUAUUUUCAAGUGCCUCGAGGCUGUUUUCCUAUUUCUCAUCUGCUAUUUGAAGUUGAUGUUUUGGUUUGAACUCAUUGUUCUAAGAAGAACUUCUACUUAUACAAUUCGUCUAUUUAAUUUGAACCGAUUUUUUACCUUUGGAUAUUUGUAACUCUUUAUUCCUUCGACGAGGACCAACAAUAAAUGUUCUUGUAUCAUUGGCCUCAUCAGUAUUCUUUUUGGAAUCAGUUAGCACUGAGUUCUGAAAGCUCUUGAAUGAUUUGAGUAAUGGUCAGAAGGGACCUCAAUUCUAAGUCAUCAUUCUGAUAUUUAUCAACUUUAUUUACCACUAGAAGAUGUACAACAGUUCUUCAAAAGGUCAGUAUUUUAUCGGGGGGACAACAUUCAAAUUAGCCAGCACCUUAAGUGAUGGCAUUUUUUUCUUCUACAUCUACAUGGAAUUCCUUUAGCCAUUCUUCCCUUAUGUCGGAAGUUAUGGCAAAAAGAGGAGGGGACUCAGACCAUCAGUAUGGUAACCUAUUAUCAUUUAUCAGUAUGCUGCAUACAAUCCUUUUUCUGCUCAGUCAGAAAUGAAGAGAUUUAUUUUGAUCUCUUUUGUCUCGUAUGAUGCAAAUGUUGACUAGAAAACCUUCUUUAGUCAUUGGUGCUAUAGCAUCACUACUCCUCAUCUUGCCCCUUUUAUCUAUUAUAGGAGGUCUGCUAAUGCAGAAGGUUGGUAUGCUUAGCUUUAGGUUUUACCUAUGUUAAUGUAAUGCGAUUACGAAAUCUCUGUCUGCUAUCAUUGCAGUGCAAAAUUCAAGCCUUCUGAUUUGCUGGACUUCUCCUCAUCAUGGCGUCCUUGAUGCCAAAAUCAGAAAAUGGAGAUGUGAAAUCUGUCUUCCUCAUUAGAGCACUUCUCAUUAUAUAAGAAUUGGAAUGCUAGCUGGUCUAAUUUAAGCUAUCUAAUUAGGAAAGAUAUACAUAUUUACAGUUGAUUAUAUGCUAAUUAAUUGGCUUGACAAAAUAGGAAAGAGCUAUACAUGCAUAUCUAUAUUUACAGCUAAUCAUAUUCUAAUUUAAAUGGCUUGACACUUCAUUAUUGGCAGCUCUUUGGUUAAUCCUUCUCCAGCAGGAUGUGGUUGGUGUGCUAAGGAAUUAGGGAAGUUUUCUGUACCUGGUUUCAUUCAGCAAGUUCUUUCGCACUUGGCUCCUCACAUUUUCUCGGUACUAAGACCAAUACUUCUCAUUAGCUGCACAUUAAAGAUGAGGUUAGUGUUUCUGAAAAUUCGGUAAUGCAGUUUUGGUUCAUUGGUUUGCUUCUAAACUAACCUAUACAGCCAAUAUUGUUUCGUAUGAGAUGAAAUCACAAGACUUCAGGUUUGGUUCAUUGGUGGCAAUGCGCAACUUGAGAUAUUGCAAAUCCAAUAUUCAUGUGGGACUUGAGUUAAUUCUUUGCACACUCACGUGCUCGGGAUCCUCUUCCUGCUACCUCAACUACCCACAUAUUCCAAUUUGAUAUGGUAUGGAAAUUUUCGAACUUUGAUCAUGAUUUCACUCAUCAACGAAAAUCUUCAAACUCAGAUGCUCUUGAUUUCGCUCAUCAUCUUUGGGCAUUUUGAUCUGAUUGGUCUCACUCAUUUUUUCAAAUUGAAUUAUACGAUAUGCUUUAACUCGUUAUUCUUUGAUGAAGCCAAAGUCUUUCUUGUUAUGACUUUGAUUCUCUAUAUAUUUGAUAGUUCGCUUAUAAAGAUGUACUGGUAAAAAAUUCUGUUUAGAGGGAAAUGUUUUAACUGAACUGUGGGGAAUAUCAAUGAGGUGUCUUGCGUUGAGAUCUUUGAACCUGUUGUAGAAUAACAAGAUUAUUGCAUAUAAAUUGUUUUACAUAGCUGCAAAAGUUUUUUUAGAGAUUGUUUGUCAGUAAAGAAAGAAUUUCUCAGCCUCUGGCGACUGGCUAGAACAUUACUAUAUGUUACAUGUAAUGAACUGUUGGAUUAUUAUAAUGUUUUAAUAAAUUUUGGCCAUAUCCAUACUUUCCAUAAUCCGUUUUAAGAUUCUGCUGGUGACUGUAAUGUUUUGCCUAUCUAUUUUAUGCUCAUGAGUUUGUUUUAGUUGUAGCUAGAGCUAAAAGCAUCUUAUCUUUUCCCUCAUUAGAUAUUCUAUCUUAUGAUUUUUUUAUGUGACUGCACAAGGUACAUAUUGCCUUUAGUUUUUAUUUCCCUUUUGUAUUCAUAGCACUUCAUCAAAUAGAUGUUAUAUGCAAAACUAAUAAAUAUAAGUUGUGGUAUCAGCAUUGAAGUUCUGACAUCACCAGGUAUUUAUAGCUCUCAGCUCUUUCCUUUGCUCAUUUUCUGGUUCAUUAUUUUUUUUUCUCUGUUAUCCAUUUUCUUUUCGCACCUAGGGAUACCAGGAGCUAAUCUACUUUGAAAUUUUGAAUUACUAUACAGAGAAUCUUCCGAUAUCGCACCCACGUCAUGAUUCUUUGCAAAACUACUAUACACGCGGCGCCGCUGCGGUUGUAUUCUAUAUAGAAAAUAUGACUUCAUUAAGUGCACACGUACAUAUUUCUCGACUCCCUUCUAGUUCUUUCACUUGUCAUGUUGCAUUUAUGUCUUUUUAUUCUAUCCAUUUUGGUAUGUUAAUCCGUUGAAUUUUUUUGAAUUUUCUAAUAUACAACUGUUGUUGGUAGUAGUCUUUAUAACAUAUCUUCUUGCACAAGGUACCUAUUUCCCUCAUCUUUUUUUUCAUUUCUUUUCCCUUCUUUGUUCGUUCAUUUAUUUCUUUUUAUGCUAUCUGUUCCACUUACUCGCAUUCCUUUCCUUUUCUCUUGUCCUUAAUAGACAGAUUAUUGCAAUGAGCAAAUUGUUAUAUUGCGAAACUAAUAUUCAAGUAGGACUUGAGUAUGGAUUUUGGUUGCAGUUUCUAAGAGAUACACUUCUUCAGAUCAUAGCGGCAAGCCAGUCACAUGAUCCAUACUCCUGCCACCUCAACUACCUCAUUUUCCCAAUUUGAUGAAGUAUGAAAAUAUUCUAACCCUUCUUGUUAAUUGACUUUGCUUUUCUGUCUAUUGUUUGCUCUUUUUUUCCUGCUUUUAUGGAUCAGUUGCAUUUAGUUAUCCGAAUUGAUUGAAACUUGUAUGAUGAUCUUGCGAAAGUUGCUCUUCUAACAAUUUUUCAUUGGUAAAGGGAGAAUAUGUCAUUAUUAAAUUGAUUUUAUUGGUUUCAUGCCACAUGAAGACUUUCUUUAAUUGGUUCAUAGAGUAUAAGAUAAAACUUGUUGGUCGUGAGACUUAUAAGCAAUGCCAGAGUAUUCUCAUCUGUGUAGUUGCAACAAAAUGUCAGAGUAUCUCUGCAAUGUUACGAUUUAAGAUGAAGUUUAUAAAAUAAUUCUCUGGAUUUAAAUCUUUUACUUUCUUGUAUGUUGGAAAUAAGAUUGUGGCUUCAGUUCUUCAUGGGAUCAUCAAAUUCAAUGUUAGAAGUGGUAAUAAAGAAGCUAUAUGAAAAAGAAAACUAAUAUGCUAAACCUCUGGUAAUCAGCAUAACUACUCUGCUUUCGUAUGUUCUCCGUUACUUGUGUGAAUAAGUCCUAUGUUAUAGAGUAUAUAACUUCGAUCAUACGGAUCAAUUUCUAGUCGCAUAGCUUCACAAUAAUUCUGUAAAGCUUCCGCAUGAUUUCCUUCGGAUUGAGCUGACAUCCGUAACAGUACCAGGUACGUAUUUCUUUUGCUCCUGCCCUUUUUUUUGGAGCACUGAAUAAAAAAAAAAGGACUAUUAUACAAAACCUUUGGUACUAAGCACAAACAGUCUGAGUGCACCGGUGUCUGGGUACAUAUUUUUCUCACUCUUUCCUUUGCUCUUUUCUAAUUCAUUCAUUUUUUUUUCUUUUAUCCAGCUAGAUGAGGUUUAAAUGGGGGUAAGCACAAACAAUCUGAGUGCACUAGGUAACCUGACUUCUUGUUCGAAAUUUUGGCGGUGAAGCACAAAUAUACAAAAAGUUUUCGGUGCCAUCAUAAUUUGUACUGCACAAGGUACAUAUAGAAUAAUAUGCAUAUCUUACUACUUCUUGUCCUACAAUACAAGCAAUGAAGGCCAAUUUGAUGCAACCAUACCUGGAAUCAUACAAAUUAUAAUAGCGACACAUUGAAACAUAACGAAACUUAGAAACUUACUUAACACAUUGGACAACACCGCAAGAAACAUCAAAUUAUAAUAGCGACACAUCGAAACAUAACGAAACCUAUAAACUUACUUAACACAAUGUACAACAUUGCAAGAAACAUCAAAUAAAAGUUAUAGCGCAACUGAAAAUUCAUUGACAACUCAACGGCAACAAAGGUCAAUAAAGCUGCCAACAUUAAGCAAAUUCAAUUGUAACAUCAACUGUUCUGGAUUCAAAUGUUUCAACAACCAAUAACCAAUAAGAAUCCACAGGCAUAUAUACCACAUAAAAAAUUAUGAGUUGAACUACCUAUACAACCAUGCUAGUUACAAAGAGCUGGUAACAGAAGAAAAUGGAGAAUUUCUCUUCCCUGGACAAGUGCUGGUCUGCAUUCCUCUUGGGAUCGGUAAAGUCAGUAGUACUCUCUUUCUCUAUGCCUAUAUAUUGAUUUUGUCAACUAAUUCUUCUUAAAUGAUUUUGUGUGUGUCAGUACCAUGGAACUGGAGGCAGAGUACGGGAACAAGUUUCGAUACUACACUUCUCGUUCUCUUUUACAAAUUCAUUCCAAAAAAAAAACCUUAUUUAUCCAUUUUUCAGUUUGGAGCUUACCAAAGUUGAAUCGUUAUAUUGAGAAUUUCCCCUAGUGUACAUGUCAUAGUUCUCUUGUCUGAAUGAAAUAAGGGUAAUGAAGCAAAUAGGUUCUCUACAAAACUAAUACACGCUGUGCUACCACUCUGCCAGGUACAUAUUUCCUAACUCGUGUUGUUGUUCUCUUCUACUGCAUUCAUUUUGGUAUUCCAAUUCACUUGAAUUAUUAGAAUUAACCUUGUGAGAGAAUAUGUAGUAGAAAAGCCUCGGUACUUGUAUUUACAUAUUUAUUUUCUUGUAUGUUGUAAAUAAAAUUGUGGAUUCUGUUCUUCAUGGGAUCACUAAAUUCAAUGCUAGCAGUGGUAAUAACGAAGCUUUCAUGAUUUUUUAAAAAUUAAAACUAAUAUGCUAAACCUCUGGUAAUCAACAUAUAAUAACUCUGAUGGCACCAGGUACAUCUCUUUUACUCUUCUCUCCUUUGUUUUCAAAGCAUUGAAUUAAAAAACAGAGAUUAUUAUACAAAAGUUUUGGUACUAAGCACAAACAAUCUGAGAACACAUAUUUCCCUCACUCUUUCUUUGGCUUUUUUCUAAUUAAUUUUAUCCAUUUUCUUUUUGUUUGUACAGCUGCAAGAGCUAAUCCGAGUUACAUUAUUAUAUAGAGAAUUGUCUCAUAUGUCAUAUUUCUUGUCCGAAAUUAGAAAAAUGAAGCAAUUAUAUUAUUUGCAAGACUGAUAAAAGCUGUUGAGGUACGUAUUUCGCGACUCCUUUUUCGUUUUUCCUGUUCUUCUAUUGUAUUCAUUCCCUUUCUUCUAUCCAUAUCGGUACUUCAAUCCAGUUGAACUUUAUAUGGAUAAUUUUCAUAGAUAUU